GGCUGGUCCAAAGGUAAUAUGUUAUGCCAAUUAAUUAAUUGUUCAGAGUUAGUUACAGAUGAAACUCCUUGUUCUACUCUUUCCCCCUUUCUCAUUGCUAAGCUUGAUAAGUCUUAG
rnacentral:Y_RNA from 1 species